rnacentral:rRNA from 1 species
CCUACGGGUGGCAGCAGUGGGGAAUAUUGGACAAUGGGGGGAACCCUGAUCCAGCCAUGCCGCGUGUGUGAAGAAGGCCCUCGGGUUGUAAAGCACUUUCAGUGAGGAAGAACGCCUGGUGGUUAAUACCCAUCAGGAAAGACAUCACUCACAGAAGAAGCACCGGCUAACUCCGUGCCAGCAGCCGCGGUAAUACGGAGGGUGCGAGCGUUAAUCGGAAUUACUGGGCGUAAAGCGCGCGUAGGUGGCUUGAUAAGCCGGUUGUGAAAGCCCCGGGCUCAACCUGGGAACGGCAUCCGGAACUGUCAAGCUAGAGUGCAGGAGAGGAAGGUAGAAUUCCCGGUGUAGCGGUGAAAUGCGUAGAGAUCGGGAGGAAUACCAGUGGCGAAGGCGGCCUUCUGGACUGACACUGACACUGAGGUGUGAAAGCGUGGGUAGCAAACAGGAUUAGAUACCCCAGUAGUC